GCGGGCAACUACUGGGCCGCCCGCAACCUCCACCCCCUCGGGGCUGCGACUCCUUUAGGGAAGGCAGAGGAGGUGCGGGAUGGAUGGACGCAUCCCGCAGAGCCGGGACCCUGGCCCACGCUCCGCCUCCCACUAGAGAGCCUCCAGAGACCCAUGCCACUUGGGAGCUCCCCUUCUGCUUCUGAGAAUUCUCAGUUCCAUCCCUGAGUCGGUCCUCCUGAGAGAAGUGGGGGAUGAGGAGGAGAAAAACUUGCCUCCUGUUACUUGUGUUGGGACCCCGCGAUUUGGUUUCCUACAGAAGCUAAGCAGGAAACUGGAGAUCAGAAAACAAGAAGCUAAAAGUAGAGAAUUAUGAGGUUCUAAGGAAUGGCAAAACAGAAGACAGAGGAGCCUGGAUCUCUGAAUCAACUACAUGGAGGAAAGUCUCCAGCUGACCAAGAAUACCCGCACUGGGCUCUUUGGUGAACAAAAAACAGACUUCAAUUGUGUGAAGCCACUGGUACUGUGGGGUUUAUUUGUUAUAGCAGCUAGCAUUACCAUCACCCAAGUAGAAUAUGUUGGGGUAGGGGAAGCAGAUCACGGAGAGCCUUGUAGCCGCACUGUAAAGAUUUUGUCUUUGUCUCUGAAUAAAAGGAAAAGUCACUGUAGAAUUUUGAACAAAGGAGUGUCAUGAUCUGCCUUGUUUAAAAGGAUAUGUAAGGUACCAUUUUAAGCACUUCAUAUAUAUUAACUCUGCCUUGAACUUGUCCUGAACUCAGAUUUGUAUAUCCAACUGACUUCUUAUCAUCUCAAUCUGGAGGUCUAAGAGGCAUCUCAAAGUUAACAUAUUCCAAAUCAAAUUUCUAAUUUACACCCAUAAUAUGCUGCCCCUUCCACAUGCUUUCCCCAUCUCAGUAAGUGAAAGCACUUCAUGCUUUCAGUUCAUGCCAAAAACCUUACACUCAUUCUUCUCUCUCUCUCUCUCUUUCCCUCCCUCCCCACACCUACACCACACACACACACACACACACACACACACACACACACACACACACACAGUCCACGUAAUAUCCAUUAGAAAAUUCUAUUGGUUCUGAAAAUUUUAACAAUGAGUAAAGCAUAGCACAGUUCUGUCUACUUUUAACCCUUGUUUGGUUCAGAAAGUUAUAAAAGGAAGCUGGAAAAAGAACAGGUUACUGAAAGUGUGAAACAUCCUGGUUACACGAAAUCCAGAAAAUCACUAAGCAUGUUUUGAAAAAUACUUUGUAACUGUAUCUUAUAAGUUACCCCUACCUUUAGUGAGUGUUGCUGGAUAAUGAUAUUAAUAAUGGAAAAACUGGGAAAAAAGACAAAUUCAUAUUAUAUAAAAUACAAUGAUAUAUACAGUGCAUGUAAUAAUCCUUUAUUUUUAAUAUAAAAGAAAAAGUAUAUAAUUUUUAUUAAUAAAUCAGUUUCUUUCCCUUUGCUUAAUAUAUAUUCAACACAUAUUUUUAAAAUAUCAUUUUGAAAGAUACCAGAUUACCUGCCUUAUUACUCCCUUGGGUGUUAGUUCUUCCCUGGAGAAAUGCAGCAACAGCAGGGCUAACCUUGCAAGUCUGUACCUUACAAAAGCAACACCAAAGUAAAGGGAGGGAGGAUAUGAUCACAAUAGAUCAGCCCAAGAGCAGAGCAAAUGAGCCCCUAGGAAAGGGCCACACAGAUCUACUCACAGAGCCAAACCUUGCUUUGAAAGCUGGAAUGAGGUCAUGGCGUAUCUUCAAUCAACACUAACUGCAAAAUUAUAUAUAUUUGUAUUGCAGUGUUGUUUGUAAGAGAAACCCCCUUCCCCCCUCAAAAAAAAAAAAAAAACUGGAAACAAUCUAAAUAUCCAGCUUUAGGGAACGGGUUAAAGAAACUACAGCUUGUAAAUAUUGAAAUAUUAUGCAUCUGCAAAACAAAACAGGAAGACAAGGAAAGAAGAAAACACAAGGAAAAAAAUAAAAGAGACUCAUUAGGUACUGAUACAGAAAAAAAUCCAAGAUAUAUCGCUAAUAUAAAAAGCAAGUGCAAAACUGUGUGUGUAGCAGUUCAAACAUGGAAGUAACCCAAGUGUCCAUUGAUAGGUGAAUGAAUAAGUAAAACGUAGUAUAUAGAUACAAUGGGAUAUUAUUCCGCCUGAAAAAGGAAGGAAACUUUGACAUAUGCUACAACAUGGAUGAGGCUUGAGGACAUCAUGCGACGUCUUUUUGUGACACAAGCCAGUCACAAAAAGACUAAUACUGUGUGAUUCUACUUACAUAUGGUACCUAGAAUAGUCAAAGUCAUAGAGACAGAAAGAGAAAAGCGGUUGCCAGGAGCUGGGGAUGGGAGGAGAGGAAUGAGGAGUUAUUGUUUAAUUGGUAUAGAGUGUCUAUUUUGCAAAAUAAAAAGAGUUCUGGAGAUGGAUGGUGGUGGUGGCUGCAGAACAUUAUGAAUGUACCUAACGCCUCUGAAUGUACACAUAAACGUGAUGAAAAUGGUAACUUUUAUGUUAUGUGUAUUUUACCACAAUUUUUCAAAUUGAGAAAAAAAUCCACAGUAAAAAUAAAAUAAAAUUUCAAGGUAAGUCAUCAUUCUUUGUUUGUUCUGAAUUUACUUCUUGGACGCUGGCUUUUAAAAAUGAAAAAGUAGAUCUGAGCUGAAAAUACAAGUAAAAUGUAGGAGAAAGCAAUAUAGGGGUAGGGGAUUAAGAGAUACAAAGUAUUAGGUAGAAAAUAAGCUACAAGGAUAUAGUGUACAACACAAGGAAUAUAGCCAAUAUUUUAUACUAAGUAUAAGUGAACUAUAACCUUUAAAAACUGUGAAUCACUACAUCGUACACCUGUAAUUUAUAUAAUGUUGUACAUCAACUAUACUUCAAAAAAAUAAAAUUAAAAAUAAAUAAAUUAAAUGUAGAAGAAACAAAGUCACUUAUUAAAGAACAGCUCUGAGUGGAACUCUGAAUGGAUCUCUGAAGUCAGACACCCAAGGUUCAAAUCUCAACUUUACCAUUUACAAAAUCUGUAAUUUUAGGUAAAUUUCUUAACCUCUCUGUGCCUUAAUUUUUUCAUCUGUAAAAUGGAGAUAAUGAUAUUACUUGCCUCAUAUGUUUGUUGUGUGAAUUAAAGUGAUACAUGUAAAAAACAGGUGUGUGUAAUAUGCUGUCAUCUGUGUAAAAAAGAUAAAAGAAGUAUGUACUUUAUUCUUUCUUGUAUAUGCAUAUACUAUUUUUGGAAGAAUAAAUUAUUCUGUUAAACUUUACUGCUUCUAGGGACAGAAACUGAAUGACAGGGAUUGGGAACAGAAGGGAAG